UGGGGAAUCUUGCACAAUGGGCGCAAGCCUGAUGCAGCAACGCCGCGUGAGUGAAGAAGGCCCUUGGGUUGUAAAGCUCUUUCGGCUAGGAAGAAGUGCUUUAGGGUUAAUACCCCUAGAGUGUGACGGUACUAGAAGAAGAAGCACCGGCUAAUUCCGUGCCAGCAGCCGCGGUAAUACGGAAGGUGCAAGCGUUGUUCGGAUUGACUGGGCGUAAAGCGCACGUAGGCGGGCUUAUAAGUCGGAUGUGAAAGCCCCAGGCUUAACCUGGGAACAGCAUACGAAACUGUAGGUCUUGAAUACCUGAGAGGUUGGUAGAAUUCCAGGUGUAGGAGUGAAAUCCGUAGAUAUCUGGAGGAACACCGGUGGCGAAGGCGGCCAACUGGCAGUGUAUUGACGCUGAGGUGCGAAAGCGUGGGGAGCAAACAGG
rnacentral:rRNA from 1 species